GGAGGGGUUCAUUUCCUAUUAGCUUGUUGGUGAGGUAACGGCUCACCAAGGCAAAGAUGGGUAGGGGGCCUUAGCGGGUGACCCUCCACACUGGGACUGAGACACUGCCCAGGUUCCUACGGGAGGCUGCAAUCGAGAAUCCUCCGCAAUGGACGAAAGUCUGACGGGGUGACGCCGCGUGAGUGAUGAAGGCCUUUCAGGUUGUAAAACUCUAACAGGGAGUAUGAAAUUCAUCGGGUCCAAUAGGCCCGGUGAUUGACGUCAAUCCCAGAUGAAGUCACGGCUAAAUAUGUGCCAGCAGCCGCGGUAACACAUAUGUGGCAAGCGUUGUUCGGAAUUACUGGGCUUAAAGCGCACGUAGGUGGUGCAGUCAGUCAAUUUGUGAAAUCCCCCGGCUUAACCGGGGAAUCGCGGUUGAUACUGCUGUGCUGGAGUUCGGAAGGGGAGACUGGAACUCUGGGUGUAGCGGUGGAAUGCGAAGAUAUCCAGGGGAAGGCCGGUAGCGAAAGCGAGUCUCUGGUCCGAUACUGACACUGAGGUGCGAAAGCGUAGGUAGCGAACGGGAUUCGAUACCUCGGUAGUCUACGCCGUACACGAUGGGCACUACGUGGUGGGAACGCCGAUAGUUCUCUCCGCCGACGCCACCAGCGUUAAGUGCCCCGCGUGGCGAGUAUGGUCGCCAGAUUCACACUCAAAGGCCUUGCCGGGGGCCCACACAAGCGUUGGAGGAUGCGGGGUGAGUUCGAGGACAGGCGUAGAACCUGACCGAGGCUUGACAUGCAGGGAUUAACCAGGUGAAGACCUGGGGAUUGCCUUACGGUGUAACCUGCACAGGUGCUGCAUGGCUGUCGACAGCUCGUGUCGUGAGAUGUUAGGUUAAGUCCUGUAACGAGCGAAACCCCUGUGCUUAAUGGCCAGCGCGUUAUGGCGGGGACUUUAAGCAGACUGCCCCGGCCAACGGGGAGGAAGGUGGGGAUGACGUCAAGUCAGCAUGGCCCUUAUGCCUCGGGCUGCACGCGUCAUACAAUGGGCAGUACAAUGAGUACCGAUCCCGCAAGGGGGAGGAAAUCUCGAAAGCUGUCCUCAGUUCGGAUUGCAGGCUGAAACUCGCCUGCAUGAAGGUGGAAUCGCUAGUAAUCGCCGGUCAGCUAUACGGCGGUGAAUACGUCCCUGGGCCUUGUACACACCGCCCGUCAAGCCACCCGAGUUGGACGCGCUCGAAGUC
rnacentral:rRNA from 1 species